AACGCACGAGACCUGCGGACCUGCGGAGGAUCAUUAAUGAGAAACUGCCCCUCGCGGGUAGAUCUCCCACCCUUUGUAAACUUACCUUUGUUGCUUUGGCAGGCCCGUCUCCGGACCGCCGGCUUCGGCUGGCCAGUGCCUGCCAGAGGAUUCUAAAACUCUGUCUGUCAGUGUUGUCUGAGUCUAUAUACAAUCGUUAAAACUUUCAACAAUGGAUCUCU
rnacentral:misc_RNA from 1 species